CGAUACGAGUUUGAUCCUGGCUCAGAACGAACGCUGGCGGCAGGCCUAACACAUGCAAGUCGAGCGAACCCUUCGGGGUUAGCGGCGGACGGGUUAGUAACGCGUGGGAAUAUACCCUUUGGUACGGAAUAGCCUCGGGAAACUGAGAGUAAUACCGUAUGUGCCCUUCGGGGGAAAGAUUUAUCGCCAAAGGAUUAGCCCGCGUUGGAUUAGAUAGUUGGUGGGGUAAUGGCCUACCAAGUCUACGAUCCAUAGCUGGUUUGAGAGGAUGAUCAGCAACACUGGGACUGAGACACGGCCCAGACUCCUACGGGAGGCAGCAGUGGGGAAUCUUAGACAAUGGGCGCAAGCCUGAUCUAGCCAUGCCGCGUGGACGAUGAAGGCCUUAGGGGUUGUAAAGUCCUUUCAGAUGGGAAGAUAAUGACGGUACCACCAGAAGAAGCCCCGGCUAACUCCGUG
rnacentral:rRNA from 1 species